rnacentral:rRNA from 1 species
UACGUAGGGUGCAAGCGUUAUCCGGAUUUACUGGGCGUAAAGAGUGUCGUAGGUGGUCUAUUAAGUUUUAGCUUAAAUACUGGGGCUCAACUCCAGCUACAGGCUAAAAUACUAAUAGACUAGUGGGAAAUCGGAGAUAUUGGAAUUCCUGGUGGAGGGGUGAAAUCCGUUGAGAUCAGGAAGAACACCAAGGGCGAAGGCAAAUAUCUAGGUUUUUCCAGACACUGAUGAACGAAAGCUAGGGG